rnacentral:sRNA from 1 species
UAGUUCGUACCAUUACCACCACCAUUAUUACCGGCACCAUUAGUGUUGGGGUGGGCUGAUACUCGACGAAUAGACAAAUGAGCCCGUACCCCACAAGGUGCGGGCUUUUUUUAU